UGAGGAGACAUCCAAAGGGAUCGCAUUGAUCCUCAGAAAAAUUAAGAAUAAUCUCUUCUUAUGUAAUUUCUUGCUUGUUUGCUGUUUCAUUUUUUCUUUUAUUUGGAUCAUGCUAUCCCUUUGGAUUCCUCCUU
rfam:Ricinus communis cultivar Hale ctg_1100012355517, whole genome shotgun sequence.